UGUACAUCUUUUGUGGUUCUCUCCAUUGACAUUCAUACAAUUAUAUAGUGAGAUAUGGGGUUGUUGGGAUUCAUUGAAGGCUUCAAGAUUGGAUAUUUUUAAGUGCAACAAGGUAAAUUGGUAAGAGUGAAAGAUGAUAUAGGGAUGAUAGGUUAUGAUACAGAUAACUUUGGAGGGAAGUAUGUCAAAGGAAUGAAUGUUUUUUCUUGGUGUAUGUUCCUUGUGAGGGGUAUGACAUUUGAAGUGGAUAAAAUAUAAGGAAAUUGAAAAUGGAGAAUAUGUAAAGUAGUUACCAAAAAAAAAAACUAUAAUGGUGCCUUUGUCAAAUGGGGAAGAUUAAUUCCAAAGUGCAUAACUUGGGAGUUGUUGCAACCUGUAGAACUACUUUAAAUUUUGUUUAUUAGUUUUACAAUAUAAUAUUGUGAAACAAUACUAAUGCAUUUUGAAUUAAAUAUUUCACAUUACAAAAUGUCUAGAACACGGUCUACAAACUGAAUUAUUUUGGUGGUAAAAUGAAUGUAGUUUAGUUCAGAAAGUUGUCAUAUUGAAUUAUAAUUUUGUAAUGUAGUUCAUGACGUUAAAGUCAUAUUAACCUGCUUGAAUUGGUAGCAAUUAGUUUGAGGAGGUAAAGAGUAGUGAUUGUGAUAGCAUUGGGUCUUAGAUCUUCUUUUUUUAGGUGCUUCAAAUUUUCUUAUGUUAUUUUGUUUCUCAGUUACUGAAACAUCGAAUUAACUCUGCCUAACUCUAACUUUGAAACUUGUUCUUUAUAUUUGUUUCUAGACUUCCUUGUAUAGUUUUACUUCAUGAGAUGGCAUAGUGAUUUCAACUUGGUAUACUGCUUCUAAGUGUACUUAACUAUUACAAUUGUUUUGAGAGCUUAAUCAUAAAAGGACAAGCAAGGUCUUAAAUACUUAGAUGUGUUCUAUUACUACUCAAAGCAACCUAUUACAAGAAAUUGCAAACUAUGAUAGCUGUUUGUUGAUUGGCAUUGAUGACUUAGGUCUUGAUCAAUUAUCCAAAGCAUCCAAUUUUAUGAGACGAUCAGGCCUUACUUUGCCUUGAGAGCAGAAAACUGUGAAUUGAUGCAAAUUGUUUGGUUUAUGUACAAGUUGAGAUCUGUGUACCACUGUUCAGAUAUGGUAUAUUAUGUCUUUUUUACCUCAAAAGUGCUCAAUUUGUGUUUGAAAGGAAUGGCUAGAGUUAGGUUUCAAGUUCUUAUGUUGGGGGUUCAAACAUGAGGGUAGCCACUUUAUAUAUAAUAAUGCCAAAAGUUAGGUCUGUACUCAAUUUACCCCUCCUAGACCCCCAUCUAAGGGGGAUUAAACUGGGUGUACUUUGUUUUUUUGUUCGGUUCUGUUUAGUCAACUAGAAUGGUUAUUUAGAUUAAUCAAAAAGUAAUGCUUGUUCUGUGAAUCAUAUGGAACUUGAUAAAAUAUUGGAAUGAAAUUCUCCACGAGUUGGUCUUUAAUUGGGAUAAUUAAUCUCAGUCAUAUGACUCAUAUUAUAAUGUCUGUUGCCAAACCUGGCUUCUUAUAUGGGGGCUUAGCCUCUAGAAAAUGUAGAAGUGUUUAUAUUGAAUCAUGGUAGCAUAAAUAAGGUUGAAUAGCAGGUCCAUGCUUUUUGAAUAUAUUAUUUUUCUUUCUUUUUUCUUUGGCCUGUUGUUUUCCUAGUACAUGGCUUUGGUGCUUGCUCCCUUUUUCACUUUUGAAAAAUUAUUUGAGAUUUUCAUGUGAGAUGCAUGAAAUUGUUGUGCUGCCUGACAUGUAGGUGCCACAGACAAGUGCCCCACUCCCUACUGCUGUCAUGUUUCAUUAUUUUCCAUUUUGUUUUGCUGUCAUGUUUUCCUCAUGGACUAAGACUAAAAGUAUAAUACUUCGCAUUGGAAUAGUAAUUAUGGAAACGACUAUCAAAUUUUGAAUGUUGGGAGUAGACAUGUCUAGGAACUUUUAUUUGAUUUUUAUUGAUUACAAACUCUGAAAGCUCUCUGUUGGAAGUUAUACAAUUAGAUAGACAAUCCUUUCAUUAUCCUGAAAUGUACUCAAUAUUUCACUAAGUUUUUUCAUUAAUGCAUUUGUUUUGUAGCUUUUCUCAUUAUUAUGGCUGACUGACUUGUUGUGAUAGAACAUCCUCAGCACUAACUACUUUGCAUAAAUGCGCAGAGUUUCUCUGGUUGUUGCUUGUAAACUUACCAUAAUAACUGGAGAUUAUGAAUUGAUGUUUUAAGCCCUUGAACUCUGGAGUUGGUCACUUCCAAUCAAAAUAUUGCAGGUGGUUGCCAGCCUUCACAUAUUAAUAACGACAGCUACAGUUUUGUUUCCAGUUUUUGUGAUCCUCAUGUAUGAUUCUGCUGUUCUAUCUGGCGUCACAUUAAUGCUCUUUGCGUACGUUGUGUGGCUGAAGUUGGUAUCCUAUGCACAUACAAAUUAUGACAUGAGAGCGCUUGCUAAGUCACUUGAUAAGAUAAGAACCGGGAUCUUUUUUUUUUUCCUUCCCAAAUACCUGCGCAAAUCCAUGAUCCAAAUAGGCUUAGUGAUUCUGAUGAAUACAAAUACUAGAACAUAUUUCUAUUUCAUUUGUUUCAAUAUAGGCGGUUCAUUGGGAGCUUUUAAUUGAUUAUUGUAUUCAAUCCACUUGCAUAAUACAACUACAAACUAUGUAAUUGUCCUUCCUGUAUUAGACAUUAAUAGUCUUAAGUACCACUACAAGAAAUUAAGGUUUUAAUGACAAAUUUUUAGGAACAAAAAUAAUUUGUUUGUAAAAGUUAUACUUUUAGAGACAAAAUGACAAAAUUUUAAAAAAAAUAAAAUUUAAUCAUAUAAUUAUAUUUUUAAGACAAAACUAUUUGGUUGCAAAAGGUCAAUGACUUUUUGCCAACAAUUUUGAUUCGUCCCCAAUAAACACAACUCAUAUAUUAUUUUAUUUUAAUUUCAUUCUUUCAACUUCAAUAGUCCGGAUCUCAUUUCCUUCUCCACACCACUGUCUCUCUCGCUCUCCCUCUCCAUCGAAGCCCUAAUUUUAUUAUUCUCGGUGGUUUGUUGAUUUCAAUCCCUCUCUCUCGCGAUCGAAUCCCUAAUUUCAUUGUUCUCAGUGGUUUGUUGAUUUCAAUCCCUGAUCUCAGAGACUCCUCGACAACGAUUUCAGUAUCCAGGUUUGAUCGAUUAAUCGAUUAUUCAUUUGAGCUAAAAUGUGUUCGAAACCGAUGAUGUUUUUAUGUCUUCGAUUCAUUCGUUUUUAGUUUAUUUCUUGUAAAUUUACAGUUGUGAAGAUCUGUUGUUGUUUGUUGUGAUUCACUUAGAUCUAUUGUAAAUUUCAGAUUCCUUUUUGUUUUCAGUUUGAUACAUAAAUCUUUGAACUUGAUUUUUUUUUAUUAUUUUUUGUUUGUUUAGGCAUGACAUUGAUUCGAGAGAUUGUGUUUCUUCAAUUUGUUUGCUCGGAACUUGUAUUCUUUGGUUUCAAUUUAUACUUGAAUUUGGUUUUCUGAACAUUAGGAUCUAUUAUUGUAGUAUUGAAAGAAAAUGAAGGCAAAUUUGACAUGGUUCUGUUUUUAGAUCAACUUCACUCCUUGGCAAGGCCAAGGGAUUAUCUCCUGUUAUCCACUGAUGUGGUAAUUGCCGACAAGUUUGCUCCUGAUGCAAACAGCAAGAUUGUGCCAGCAACUGGCAUCCCUGAUGGCUGGAUGGGAUUAGAUAUUGGACCGGACUCUAUUAAGACAUUUAAUGAUGCUUU